GUUAAGAAUAAAAACAGUGAGUGACAUCAUCUGUUUACUUCAGCUUUUGCACCGUUGAUAGACUUCAUUUAGAGAACUGUACUAGCAAUAUUUGCCUCUCCUAAAAAAUUAUGGCAACAGACAUUGAAAUAUUUGCUUUUUUCGAAGAAGCACACUACGAUCAAUACGAUUACUACAAUUUAGCCGAAUAUUCAUGUCACGCUGGUGGAAAAGGUAGAACCAAGAGAGAAAUCGGACUGAACACCAAUCGCCAUAUCCCUGCUGGACACGAGAGAAAAAUUGCUGAAAAAUAUCAAAACAGUGAACUCAAACGCAGGAGAACCAAAAGUUCAUCAUCUUGAUGGACUCUGUGUCAGAUCUCAAACCUAGUUGAAGAUUGAACUGGAACAUGGUCCAAAUAUGUAUUUUUGCCUUUCCUGACCCUUCUGACCCAGUGAACAGAGUUGACUGUGACUGGCCUGCCAGGAAACAUACCUUGGCAGUUAGUUUCGAGUGCACUCCUUUUCCACAUGUUGCACCCCUGUAAGUGGUCUCCAGUUACAGCAGUGUGCAAGAAUACAUGGUUUUAAAUGGUUGAAGACCUCUCUAGGACUAUUAUGCUGUUAUCAUACCGUUUGGUUUAAAGUGUAAAAAGUACUGUGUUGUGAAUAAAGAGAUGACGAUUUAAAAGAG